UGAGAACUGCCUGUCCUUUUGUAAACUCAAUUUUCAGAGCAUUUCAGGGCACUCAACCAGAUGAAUGAGUUAGUAAGAAUAUCAUGAGAUAUUAGAUUAAACACAGAAUGAAUUUAAUUUUAAAUGAUCAACGUGAUCAUCUAUUAAUAAUCAAGUGCCAAGAUAUAUUGCCACAUAUUAUAAUCAAUAUUUUGCAUAUUCAAUAAACACUCAUCAAAGAUGGUGAUGGAUUCCAGACUGUAGUAAAUAUAUCGAUUACAGGGUCUUUACCUACAGCAUUUUACAUUCAAACAGAUCAGCAGGUUUUACAUUGGAUCACACAAUUAGUGCUGAGAAGCAGUUAAAAAAAUGAUUCAGCUUCAAAAAAAAAAAUUUCUAGAGAAAUGUAACUUACUUUACAUAAAAACAUUCAAAACUCUAUUUUUAUGUUCAGUAAACCAAUGUAGUGCAGCGUGAUUGAUGCCAAGAUACACAAAAGAUUUGCAUGUACUGCUAAGGAUACAAAAGAUCUAACAUUAAAUUACUCUUAAUAACUGAAAAAGCUUUACCCCUAAAGAACAUGAUCACAAGGGAGGUAGUUGUAUGCAAACAUUUCUAUUUGGGUUUAUAAAUAGUAGCUUCACAUAUUUCCAACAGGGCUGGUUUCAGCGAAAAUAUGCUUACGUGCUUUCUUGAGAACAUAGGGCUUUCAUUGAGAACAUUAUGGCUUUUGGUUAAUAAAUAAAAUAGUUAAUGGUAUACUCAUUUCAUCUUUAUUUAUACUAAAAUCACAUUUCAUUAAAGUAAAUGUUAGUCGUGAGCGAGGAAAAUAGAUCUGGUGGCUCACGCCUGUACAGAGGAUAAUCUGAAUAGUUCUAGAACCAUUUUGAGAAACGUAUCUAUGGCAUGGACUGUUCCAGAAUAUAAGCAACACACCUUAAUAUCCUGUUGAUUUUCUCUCUUGAUUAGGCUCUAGCGUGCCUUCUAACACAUCACUUUGGAGCUUCAGUUUGCAAAGAGAUUUUACACAUCAAGGACAACAUCUUGUGUAAUAUGCCAUGUUUGACCAGAUAAGGAAUUUUUCUACUCAUCUUUCAUGGAGGAAGGAUAUGUAAAGAACCUGCUGAGAAAGACACCAGACCAGGCACCAGCUUAUAAAUAUCAUAACUACUGAGAAUGUGAAGCAUCAACUAUGUGGAAGAGGGAGAUACACUGCAAAGGGAGAUACAACAGAAGCUGGGCACUAAGAGUCUGACAAAGAGACAACAAAAUAAGGGAUACCUCAGGUGGUGCCUAUUGAGAAAAUAUGGUACCAAGUCCCAGGUAGACCAGAAUUUUAUUUUAAUUAAAGCACAAGACUUGCCCUCAGUCACGGGAAAGAAGUCACCCAUGACUGGAUAUUUCAGCAUGCAUUCUCAGAUUAUUUUCUUUAAAUCUACUACUACUGAAAAUCCAAUAAAUACUUUUAAUAGUUUGCCUUUUACAUUUUUUUUAAAAAAACACUUGGUCUGGGAGUUUUGAUUUCUGGGUCUUUAUGUGAAUCAUUCAACCUGGCUUAAUUUUUACUCUAUUCUUGUAUCUGAAUAGUUAUCAAAUAGGAAUUCUGCAAAGUAAGUGAUGUUUAACCCAUUGAGUUGACAACUAUAUAUACAUGGGACUUUAGUUCCAAAAAGCCUUGAGCUUUGAAAAGUCAAUUAGAGAAUCCUCAUUAAAAUAUUAGAAUUAAAAUAUUUGAAAAUAUCCUCAUUAAAAUAUUAGAAACUAAGGUGACAUCAGCAUCAUGGUGGAAUGAGUGCUUCCCUUAGACUCUCCCCUCUAAGAGACAACAAAAGGAUAUUCGUAUACCAACAGAGGACAUUCACACAACAAAAAAGACGUCUGAGGGAGACACACAGCUAUACCUCUGCUGGUGGAGGUGCUGGACCCCUGGAGGAAGUGGAAGGAGGUAAGAGGAUCUCCUCUCCCUCCUGAACAGCAGUGACCUUGGGACUGCACAUGGCUCUGAGAAGAGAUGGGGGAGGGGUGGCUCUCUGCAGGAACACCUUG